rnacentral:piRNA from 1 species
UGUUGCGAACUAUUCCAAGUGGGUC